GAAAUGCGAUAAGUAAUGCGAAUUGCAGAAUUCCGUGAGUCAUCGAAUCUUUGAACGCACAUUGCGCCCUCUGGUAUUCCGGAGGGCAUGCCUGUCCGAGCGUCAUUAGUCCAAUCUCAAGCCUGGCUUGUCGUUGGGUCUCACCGUCUCAGGCGGUGGGCCCGAAAUAUAAUGACGGGAUCCGACGCCCGUGGAUGCAGCGAGCUUCAUAGCACGCGUCCCGGCGCCGUCGCGGCCCGUCUUCAACCACAUUUUCUCUAGGUUGACCUCGGAUCAGACAGGAUUACCCGCUGAACUUAA
rnacentral:misc_RNA from 1 species